AAAUGUGGUAGCAAUUCUUGCUUUUUCUGCCGCAAUAUAACUUAUCAGAUCCUCUUGUUUUUCCCUAAAUGGUAAAAGGGUUUGCAUUGAAAUGGUUAUUCAUCUGUGUCUAUGAUGCACUUAAAAAUAAUAAUUUCACUAUUAUGUUACAACAUGCGUUAUUUAUUAUUUUAGUAAAUGAAUAUUUUAAGCAGCAAUUUGCAAAUUUAAACAUGACAAUUAAUAUGAUAUGACAUAAAAAAUUAAAUAAUCUCCCAGCAUCUUUGUCAUCAGCAUUGCAUUAAUGAUUUUAGCCCUUCUGGCAGCUUUCAUUUUUUGUUUAUUUUGACUGAUGAUGGCAGAUUGUGAUAGUGAUAUACUUUUAUAAAUUAUUUUUUAGUCAGAAUGAUAUUAGCCUGUAAUGUUGACUGGCAGAACUAACACUGUUUAUCAUUGCCAGUGUUGUUUUGACUUAUAUUCUGAGUUCUUUCAGAAAGAUGAUAGAAUGUCUAUAAUGGACAUUUGCUGUCCACUGUAGGUUGCCCAGUGGUGGGCUGUGGUGGGGUCCACCUUCUGCUGUGGAAGCCAGCCCAGGUCAAAUGAGCGUUUCUUCUUCUUGCCCCGUAGGAGUUACAGGGGUGGGCUCACUACUUAGGCUCAGCCUCCUGACUGCUUUCACCUGGAGUUUAAAUCUGGAGAGAAUGUUGCAAAAUGCAGGGACAGUUAGUAGUGGCAGUAGAGUUACUGAAAUUACUAAGAUUUCUUUCCUGGAUAGUCCUAGUCGUACACAUCAAUGUUACUACAGGUGGGCUUAGCUUUUACUUUUGUACAUUUUGUACUGAUGCCUCUAACGACCUUUGUGCACAUGAUCAGAACUUUAAGCAUUGGAUGGCAGAGAGUUCAAGCUAUUGCAUGGUGAUGCUGCCUGCCAACCAACAGUUUGGGUUCAGCAGUGUUGACAUCUUUUCCUGUGUAACAGUGCUUAUUUGUGCAAUUAUUUGAAUUUUCAGUAGAGUUGAAUUUCAAACUGUCCUUGGAGGAGUUUUAGACUUCAUGGAGAUACCUUGGGCACCUAAUAACAGUACCUCAGUUUGAUAUAGUCCUUAUCAUUUUUAUAUAUGAUAAGAUGUUAAAUGGGAGGUUUCCUGUUGUCUAAAAUUUUGGCCAAAGUCCAAAAGCUGUAGCCAGUAGAUGGAAAGUACCCACGUAGUCUGAGGAGAGAUUUUAGAAGCAUCCGUUGCAGGACUUGUCAAGAAUUGGCCAAAUAGGUCUAGCAACUUUUACACCCUCUACCCUGUAACCCAGCCUGUGUCAGGAAGACUAGAAAUGGAUUACAUGCAAGGAACUCCCGGGGUAGGGAGUGCUCUUCCCUGAGGGAAGUGGGGGUUUCCCUCUCUCUGUCCUGCCUGCAAUCAUUUGAGAGAGACACCAAGAGAGUAAUGAAAAGAUUGGGGUUGAUUGCAAAAGGAAAUUGACAUUUUAUUGAACUGCACUCACAAGACAGGUGCUACUGUGGGAUUAGAAUGGAAUCUGAGAAAGAGUUCUUUAGAGAUUGUCGUGUGUCUUGGAGUUUGGAGAUGUCUGUGAACACAGAGACUGGUGUCUUCCUCUCACCUGAAAGCAGCUGUGUGGCUGGAGCUUCCUAGGGUGGAGGGGUAGGGGGCAGUGUGUAUAGAGAGGGGGCAGUAAAUGCUUGACCUUUUCUGCUGGUCAGGAGGUCUCCCUGGAGGGCAGCAGCUGUGAGUCAUCUUGAAAAACCUUCCCUGCAGAAGAAGACUGCCCACCAUGUGUAGGACUCCAGCAGAAAGAGGCUGUGGGUGAACCACAGGGGCAGGAACUCAGCGGAGGCUGUGAGAGAUGAGCCGAAGGGCCCUCAUUGCCUGCCUCAGGCAGCGUGGAGAUCCCAGUGAAGGGGUCUCACUAGUGAGAGCUGGCAUUUGGACUCCUGCAAGUGGCAGAUGUUUUACAGACCGGAGGACCACAGACAAAUGGAUAGACUUUCCUGUUUCCUUUUCCUCAAAAUUGCCUCUUUUGCUCUGGCCCCCCACCCUUUCCUCAAUGCUGGUCUCAGGGGAAAAGCUUCACACUGGAUGAAAUUAGUUUUGGUUUAGACUAGAUUGGACUUUUUAAUGCCUGAAAGUUUGGCUUAUUUAUUUAAGAUAAUGAUUUCUUUUUAAAACUCUAGCUACAAAUCAGUAGUUCUGAGUUACUGAACCCUGAAAAGUCCUUUCAUGAUGACACAUUCGGCCGUCUCGGCCCCAGUAGACUAGAGCUAGGUUUUAUCACUAAGUAUAGUUUCUAUUAUGUUGUAUCCUGCAGAUUUCAAGCAUACGACUUGCCAGCAAUUACUGUGUCAUCUGAGAAAGUUGAAAUUUCAUGAUAAGCUGAAGACUGGAAAUUUGCUAACUCAGUAUACAGCUACUACAGGUUAAAAAUGUAAUCACCGUGGCCAUCUAUUUGGAUGUGACAACCCUUCAUUUUAUAAAAUAAUUAGUGUUGAAUCAAAGUUUUUGCUCAACAUCUCCUAUCAAGUAACCUAUCAAAGCCAACUGAAUGAAUGAUUAAAAGGUUCAGAUCAAAAGCAACUGGCUUAACUUCAUGGAGGUUUUCAUCCUUUAUUUUAAGAUGUGUCUAUGUCUAACUGAUUAUUGCUCACCUUUUAGAAAGAGAUAUUGACGUCCUGUAAAGUGUGCACUGACCUCACUUCUGGAUGUGUGGGCAGGUUUCACUGCAGGCCUCUGAAGCAUUGAUAUUCCUGUAACCUUUGAGGCAAGAUGUGUGUAUAGUGUGUUAAUGAGCUGGUUGAAGUGAUGUACAGUAAUUUCAUCCUUGGGUAAAAACAGAUGUGAAAGAUUCUGUUUUAAUAGUUAAUCAGGCUCCAAGCCUCUGUUGGCUUGUUUAAGUUGACCUGACAGCAUUAUACCUGGAAACACUUUGAAUUAAACUCUAAGUGUUUGACCUUGUUCAAACAGUUGUAAUUUAAUAAGGCUGCUGUCUUGGUGGAGAU